AUAGACAAUGUCGAAUGCAGUCUGGUCAUCAACAGAGAAUUUUCAGACACCCGACGUCACCCGUAGACCUGUAUUUCAACUAAUUACCUCUCUAACCUUUGUUGUGUUCAUCAGACAGAGGGAUGGACCAUUUUACUUUGAUCCUUUUACAACAGGUGCCCCUGCAGUUUACAAAGUUCCAAUAUUGAGGUCCCAGGACCCUUAAUUUAACAUCCAGUGAGUCCACAACAGAUUAAGGAUUAAGCUGACAUUAUCCACAUUGUCCUUGGUAGCUGCAGCUUACAGUAGAACCAACAGCAGUAGACAUAUAGCAUGCUUCUUCAAAGAUGCACCACAUGCAGUGGCACUGUCUCCAUCAGUGGUGAAAUGGGAUAUGACUAGUGGAGGGUGGUGAUUUUCUUACUGACACCAAUACAUUUUGAGGUCCUUAUCUCCAAUGGUGGUCUCCGGAGGAAUGGUUGCAGUGCAGUCUUCA